AUCGCAUCCUGGGGCUGGAGCAGGUCCCAAGGGUAUGGCUGUUCGCCAUUUAAAGCGGUACGUGAGUUGGGUUCAGAACGUCGUGAGACAGUUCGGUCCCUAUCUGCCGUGGGUGUAGGAAUAUUGACAGGAUCUGUCCCUAGUACGAGAGGACCGGGAUGGACGUAUCUCUGGUGGAUCUGUUGUCCUGCCAAGGGCAUAGCAGAGUAGCUAUAUACGGAAUGGAUAACCGCUGAAGGCAUCUAAGCGGGAAACCAACCUGAAAACGAGUGUUCCCUAUCAGAGCCGUGGAAGACGACCACGUCGAUAGGACGGGUGUGGAAGUGCAGUAAUGCAUGAAGCUUACCGUUACUAAUAGCUCGAGCGACUUCUUCGUUCCCAUU
rnacentral:rRNA from 2 species